GCCCAGGUAGCUCAGUUGGUAGAGCAGCGGACUGAAAAUCCGCGUGUCGGCGGUUCAACUCCGUCCCUGGGCA
rnacentral:tRNA from 2 species